rfam:Nitrincola sp. A-D6 Contig92, whole genome shotgun sequence.
UGCGGGGUGGAGCAGUCUGGUAGCUCGUCGGGCUCAUAACCCGAAGGUCAUAGGUUCAAAUCCUGUCCCCGCUA